rnacentral:rRNA from 1 species
GGGCCCGCACAAGUGGUGGAGCAUGUGGUUUAAUUCGAUGCAACGCGAAGAACCUUACCAACCCUUGAAAUCUAGCGAAGUUCACAGAGAUGAGAAUGUGCCUUCGGGAACGCUAUGACAGGUGUUGCAUGGCUGUCGUCAGCUCGUGUCGUGAGAUGUAUGGUUAAGUCCAGUAACGAGCGCAACCCCUAUCCUUAUUUGCCAGCGCGUUAAGGCGGGAACUAUAGGGAGACUGCCGGGUGAAACCCGGAGGAAGGCGGGGACGAGGUCAAGUCAUCAUGGCCCUUAUGGGUUGGGCUACACACGUGCUACAAUGGGAAGUACAGAGGGAUGCGAAAGCGCGAGCUGGAGCCAAACCCUUAAAACUUUUCUUAGUCCGGAUUGGAGUCUGCAACUCGACUCCAUGAAGUCGGAAUCACUAGUAAUCGCGAAUC